AGUCGACGAGGGCGGAACAGGCAGCCGCCACGCCUUAGUGGUCUUAAAGAGAUGCGGGUAGGUCAUCCCGCCGUGGCU
rnacentral:ncRNA from 1 species